rnacentral:rRNA from 1 species
GCGAUUCAAUUAAUUUGAAAGAUAAAAUUUAUUAAUAAUAUAAGAAUUUAAAAUUUAAUAAAAAUAAUUUUAAUUAUAUUUGAUUUUAAGUAUAUUUUUUAGAAAAAAAAAAAAUUAUUAUAGUUUAAUAGUAUUGUAAAAGAAUAUUGAAAUAUAAAAUAUUUAAUAAAAAGUAAAAUUAAUUUUUUGUACCUUGUGUAUCAGGGUUUAUUAAAUAAAUUUUAAUUAUUUAAAUUUCUCGAAUUAAAGAGAGUAAAUAAAUUAUUUAAUUUUAUUGUAAAAAAAAUAUUUUUAAUAAUUUAUUAGUAAUGAAAUGUUAUUCGUUCUUUAAUAUAUCUAGUUUAUUUAGAAAUGAAUUUAAUUUAAAUUUAUUAAUUUUAAUAUUUUAAGUUUUUAAAGUAUUAUAUUUUUAUAUUAAUAAUUAAAGGGAUAAGCUUUUAAUUAAAUAUUUAAAAAUUAUUUUAUAUAAAUUAAAAAUGUAAGUUUAGAAAUAUCUAUCAUAAUAAUUUGUUAUAAUUAAUUUAAUUAAUUUAUAUAAUUUUAUAUAAUUUUAAUAUUUUAUAAAUAAGUAAAAUUUAAUUUUUUAAUUUUAGUUAUAAUGAUAAAAUUAGUAUAAAUUUAUAUAAAAAUUUUUAUAUAUAGAAGAUUAAAAAAAGUAAUUCGGCAAAAAUUUUACUCGCCUGUUUAACAAAAACAUGUCUUUUUGUUUUAUAUAUAAAGUCUGACCUGCCCACUGAAUAAUUUUUAAAUGGCUGCAGUAAUUUGACUGUACAAAGGUAGCAUAAUCAUUAGUUUUUUAAUUAAAAGCUUGUAUGAAAGGUUGGACGAAGUAAAUUCUGUCUCUUUUUAAAUUAAAUUAGAAUUUAAUUUUUAAGUUAAAAAGCUUAAAUUUUUAUAAAAGACGAGAAGACCCUAUAGAGUUUAAUAAUUUUUAAAAAAUGAUUAUUUUWRAUUUAUAAAUUUUAUUUUUUUUAAAAUUAUUUUAUUGGGGUAAUAGAAAGAUUAAAUUAAUUCUUUUUUUUUAAAAACAUUUAUUUAUGAAAUUUUAUGAUCCAUUAUUAAUGAUUAUAAGAUUAAAUUACCUUAGGGAUAACAGCGUAAUUUUUUUGGAGAGUUCUUAUCGAUAAAAAAGUUUGCGACCUCGAUGUUGGAUUAAAGAUUAAUUUAGAUGUAGAAGUUUAAAUUUUUGGUCUGUUCGACCAUUAAAUCUUUACAUGAUCUGAGUUCAAACCGGUGUAAGCCAGGUUGGUUUCUAUCUUUAUUAAAUUGUUAUAUUUUAGUACGAAAGGACCAAAUAUUAAAUAUAUAAAUAUUUAGUUUAUUGAAUUUUAUUAAUAUUAUUUUGGCAGAUUAGUGUGAUGAAUUUAGAAUUCAUAAAAG